GGCCAUUUCACUUCCAACUAGCGACUUCCUUGAGGAUAUUAAGAUGGAAUGACAGGAAGAUUUAGAGACUAGUAAGAUUAUAAAAAAAUUGGAGGAAGCACCAAGCUCCAUGGCUCAUUACAAUUGGGACUCAAAAGAAUUACACUAUAAGGGACGUAUUGUGCUUAUGAUAAAUUCUACUUGCAUCUUCACGAGCAGAUUUUGGACAAAGUUAUUCCAUA
rnacentral:lncRNA from 1 species